AUUGAACGAUGGCGGCAGGCCUAACACAUGCAAGUCGAACGCGUGGCGGACGGGUGAGUAAUGUCUGGGAAACUGCCUGAUGGAGGGGGAUAACUACUGGAAACGGUAGCUAAUACCGCAUACAAUCGGAUGUGCCCAGAUGGGAUUAGCUAGUGGGGGGGGUAACGGCUCACCUAGGCGAAGAUCCCUAGCUGGGCUGAGAGUAGGCCCAGCCACACUGGAACUGUGACACGGUCCAGACUCCUACGGGAGGCAGCAGUGGGGAAUAUUUCACAAUGGGCGCAAGCCUGAUGCAGCCAUGCCUCGUGUAUGAAGAAGGCCUUCGGGUUGUAAAGUACUUUCAGCGGGGAGGCGUUACCCGCAGAAGAAGCACCGGCUAACUCCGUGCCAGCAGCCGCGGUAAUUC
rnacentral:rRNA from 1 species